GCAUUAAUGGGGUAGUGGUACCUGGGUCGUAGCCAUUAUACCAAUUGCUCUCGGUCUAUGUCGACCCGCCGGGGGUUCGAUUCCCCCUUAAAGCA